rnacentral:rRNA from 1 species
GACGAACGCUGGCGGCGUGCCUAAUACAUGCAAGUAGAACGCACAGUUUAUACCGUAGCUUGCUACACCAUAGACUGUGAGUUGCGAAUGGGUGAGUAACGCGUAGGUAACCUGCCUGGUAGCGGGGGAUAACUAUUGGAAACGAUAGCUAAUACCGCAUAAUAUUAAUUAUUGCAUGAUAAUUAAUUGAAAGGUGCAAUUGCACCACUACCAGAUGGACUUGCGUUGUAUUAGCUAGUAGGUGAGGUAACGGCUCACCUAGGCGACGAUAAAUAGCCGACCUGAGAGGGUGAUCGGCCACACUGGGACUGAGACACGGCCCAGACUCCUACGGGAGGCAGCAGUAGGGAAUCUUCGGCAAUGGACGAAAGUCUGACCGAGCAACGCCGCGUGAGUGAAGAAGGUUUUCGGAUCGUAAAGCUCUGUUGUAAGAGAAGAACGGGUGUGAGAGUGGAAAGUUCACACUGUGACGGUAUCUUACCAGAAAGGGACGGCUAACUACGUG